ensembl:ncRNA C07G3.13 ncRNA
CGGUAGACAAAAUGAACAGCGAAAACUGCCAUCGAUGCACCGAAGCAUCCCCAGUAGCAGGAAUUCAGAAU